AUGAUGAUGAAGAUGACACAGUUCAGAGAUAGUAGAUUCAUCUAUUCAAAUUGCAAACACAUCUACCACUUUCUUAAGCUAAAAUGCAGGUUUGUUAGGCCUAACACGAGUUGGAAGUCAGAGAGUCAUUCAACUAUCAACCAGAUUCAUGCUUUUCUUAUCUGUAUUUGGCAAGUUUGGAGCAGUGGUUGCUGCAAUCCCAUUGUCAAUAGUAGCAGCUGUUUAUUGUGUCCUCUUUGCCUAUAUCGUUUUGCAGUGAUGGACAAUCAUGGAUAG